rnacentral:rRNA from 1 species
GACGAACGCUGGCGGCGUGCUUAACACAUGCAAGUCGAACGAAGUGGCGAACGGGUGAGUAACGCGUAAUCAACCUGCCCUUCAGAGGGGGACAACAGUUGGAAACGACUGCUAAUACCGCAUACUGAAGGAGGGGAUUGCGUCGGAUUAGCUAGUUGGAGGGGUAACGGCCCACCAAGGCGAUGAUCAGUAGCCGGUCUGGGAGGGUGGACGGCCACAUAGGGACGUGGCAACGGCCCAGGAUCCUACCGGAAGCAGCAGUGGGGAAUCUUCCGCAAAGGACGAAAGUCUGACGGGGCAACGCCGCGUGAGUGAUGACGGGCUUCGGGUUGUAAAGCUCUGUUAAUCGGGACGCAGUACCGGAAUAGAAAGCCACGGCUAACUACGUGCCAGCAGCCGCGGUAAUAC